AUUGAACGCUGGCGGCAGGCCUAACACAUGCAAGUCGAGCGGUUGACGGGAGCUUGCUCCCUGAUUCAGCGGCGGACGGGUGAGUAAUGGCUAGGAAUCUGCCUAUUAGUGGGGGACAACGUUUCGAAAGGAACGCUAAUACCGCACACGUCCUACGGGAGAAAGCAGGGGACCUUCGGGCCUUGCGCUAAUAGCUGAGCCUAGGUCGGAUUAGCUUGUUGGUGAGGUAAUGGCUCACCAAGGCGACGAUCCGUAACUGGUCUUAGAGGAUGAUCAGGCACACUGGAAUUGAGACACGGUCCAGACGCCAACGGGAGGCAGCAGUGGGGAAUAUUGGACAAUGGGCGAAAGCCUGAUCCAGCCAUGCCGCGUGUGUGAAGAAGGUCUUCGGAUUGUAAAGCACUUUAAGUUGUGAGGAAGGGUUGUAGAUUAAUACUCUGCAAUUUUGCCGUUACCGACAGAAUAAGCACCGGCUAACUCUGUGCCAGCCGCCGCGGUAA
rnacentral:rRNA from 1 species